rnacentral:rRNA from 1 species
ACUUUGAUCCUGGCUCGGAUUGAACGCUGGCGGCGUGCCUAACACAUGCAAGUCGAACGCGAAAGUUUCUUCGGAAAUGAGUAGAGUGGCGCACGGGUGAGUAACGCGUGGAUUAUCUACCUACUGGUACGGGACAACAGUUGGAAACGACUGCUAAUACCGUAUACGCUGGUAACGGGAAAGGGGGCCUCUUCUUGAAAGCUCUCGCCAGUAGAUGAGUCCGCGUUUCAUUAGCUAGACGGUGGGGUAACGGCCUACCGUGGCAACGAUGAAUAGCAGGCCUGAGAGGGUGGCCUGCCACACUGGGACUGGAACACGGCCCAGACUCCUACGGGAGGCAGCAGUGGGGAAUAUUGCGCAAUGGACGAAAGUCUGACGCAGCGACGCCGCGUGGAGGAUGAAGGUUUUCGGAUCGUAAACUCCUGUCAAGAGGGAAGAAACCUAUCAUGAAUAAUACUCAUGGUAAUUGACGGUACCUCUAGAGGAAGCACCGGCUAAUUCAGUGCCAGCAGCCGCGGUA